UUUGUAGGUGACGCCGAUGUAGGCGUUGUCGGAGUCCACGCGCAUGCGUGCCACAGCGGGAUGGUCACUCUUCAGAAAGUCCAGAUGUGGGGUUUGGACCCCUGAAGGAGAAUCAGAUGUCAACUGUCCCCAGAGAUGUGGAACAAGAAGAAAGGACCACCAUUGGCAGAGAUCUCCUGCUGUUCACAGGCCACAAAGCUUCACCACAUGACCAAGUGGCUUGGACAGACGAUUUCUUCUACUCAAUAAAUUUAACACCAAUUUGGUGUCCAUCGAGUAAUUUAAUAUGAAGUGAAUUCACAUACAUUCUGAUCUUGCAGAACAUCAUGUCUACAGCGAUCUUUUCAGUCACUUUAGAGAUCUACAGUGGCAAUCAUCACU